UCUCAUAUCUGACUCUAAAAUCAUUAAAUGGUAAACGGUUAGGAAAACCAGCCCUUGUGAUUCUGAUUCCUUCCAAAACACCAUUACAUCGAAGUUGUCCUAAAACGAGGGGUCUAUUAAAGGUGUGCAUUUUCUUUUCUUCGUUUGGAACAAUACAACGAAUAAAGUGAGGUUGGGUCGAGUUAAAUUGAUUCAUAAGCUGAUUGAGCUGCUCUUUAUGCCUUUGAGCAACAGUUCGAAAAAGGCCCUUUUUCGUCCUUCCCCUAACAGUUUUAGUCUCAGUUUCCUGAUAAUCAGAAAAUAGUGUAGCGACAUGCUUGUUAGUAGAUUGCGCAAGCAACUUAGCAACGUUUUCAUUCAAAGGAUCGGUGUUCUUCUCCAGCCAACCUUCUGUACUGUAAGGAACAUCAGCGGCAUAAUGAGUCAAAAUAAAACCUUGAUCGGCAAACUUAAAAGGUUUAUAUUUUAGCGACUUG